UGAACCUACGGGGCGCAGCAGUGGGGAAUAUUGGGCAAUGGGCGCAAGCCUGACCCAGCAACGCCGCGUGAAGGAAGAAGGCUUUCGGGUUGUAAACUUCUUUUCUCAGGGACGAAGAAAGUGACGGUACCUGAGGAAUAAGCCACGGCUAACUACGUGCCAGCAGCCGCGGUAAUACGUAGGUGGCAAGCGUUAUCCGGAUUUACUGGGUGUAAAGGGCGUGUAGGCGGGAGAGCAAGUCAGACGUG
rnacentral:rRNA from 1 species